rnacentral:rRNA from 1 species
UACGAAGGGGGCUAGCGUUGUUCGGAAUUACUGGGCGUAAAGGGCGCGUAGGCGGUCUGAUAAGUUAGGUGUGAAAUUUCGAGGCUUAACCUCGAAACUGCAUUUGAUACUGCGGUGCUUUGAGGACUGGAGAGGAGACUGGAAUUUACGGUGUAGCGGUGAAAUGCGUAGAUAUCGUAAGGAAGACCAGUGGCGAAAGGCGGGUC